rnacentral:rRNA from 1 species
GGGGGAUAUUGCACAAUGGGGGAAACCCUGAUGCAGCGACGCCGCGUGAGUGAAGAAGUAUUUCGGUAUGUAAAGCUCUAUCAGCAGGGAAGAAAAAAGACGGUACCUGACUAAGAAGCCCCGGCUAACUAC